GACGAACGCUGGCGGCGUGCUUAACACAUGCAAGUCGAACGGGGUCCUGGUUGGUGGCAACACCUUCCAGUACCUAGUGGCGAACGGGUGAGGAACACGUGAGCAACCCACCCCGAACUCUGGGAUAACAGCGGGAAACCGCUGCUAAUACCGGAUACCUUCCUGCGGUCGCAUGGCUGCGCGAAGAAAGGGUUACUGGUUCGGGACGGGCUCGCGGCCUAUCAGCUUGUUGGUGGGGUAACGGCCUACCAAGGCUUCGACGGGUAGCCGGCCUGAGAGGGUGACCGGCCACACUGGGACUGAGACACGGCCCAGACUCCUACGGGAGGCAGCAGUGGGGAAUAUUGGACAAUGGGCGAAAGCCUGAUCCAGCAACGCCGCGUGAGGGAUGACGGCCUUCGGGUUGUAAACCUCUUUCGCCUGCGACGAAGCGAAAGUGACGGUAGCAGGUAAAGAAGCACCGGCCAGCUACGUGCCAGCAGCCGCGGUAAAAC
rnacentral:rRNA from 1 species